rnacentral:sRNA from 1 species
AUUUUUCCAUUUCACAUCCCAUUCCUCUGGGCCACACAAAAUUUCCUUCGAAGAAUUUGUUGAAGGCAUGAAGCAGAUGGAAGAAUUCUUGACUCAAAUGACAGCUUUUUUCCACAAGUUUGAUUUCAACAAAAAUGGCUACCUGGAGAAGUCUGAGUUUAGGAAAGCCCUAGAGUUCACAGGACGCAAUUAUGAUGACAAAGAAUUCGAAACAAUUUUUCAGAAAACAGACGCGAACAAAAAUGGGCAAAUUAGUUUAGAAGAAUUUUUGAAAACAAUGUUACAAUAAUGAUUUUACUUUAAAUAUUCACUGUUUUUUUUAAAAAAUAGAAUAUGCAAUAGGACUAGACUCUAGUAAGUUUUAUAUCUAUAAAUUAAAAAUUUAAGAAAUAGGAACCAUUCUAUUACUAUCCAUUUAUAUCUAAAGAGUUGCCUUCCUUUUCUAGUUGUAACCACAAAAAGUAGCUAUCUUAACAUCAUUAUUGUAUAGGUAGCAAUAAGAACAAAAUAACAAGAAAAAUUCUGGAUAAUUUGUUGGGUCUAAAACAAACUCUUUAUUGUUGUAGGAGUGAAACAGCGGUAUAUAAAAUAAUUUAAGUCACGAAUUUUGUGCUAAUAGGAAUACACUGAAGAAAAUGUUUCAUUCAGUUAUGUUUAGAAUUUAAACAAGAUUGUGGACCUAUUAAUUAGGUGAAAAUGAAAACAAAUGUUGAAAUUUAAAAAAAAUAUUGAAUCCACUUACCUUAUUCAUAUUUGUAGAAUUUAUUUUUAAAUGCCUAUUUUUUUUAAAUUUUAAAGUGUGAUGUGAAUGUGAUACAAAGUGAAGAGUGAAUUUAUUUUGAAAGACUUCCAAUGGCUUGAUGAAAUUUGAUGUGUAAUAAAAAUGUCAUGCCCUAACAUUAGAACUGGUAGAUAAUAUGUGUAGACCAAACUUUCCCAUUUGAACACCUUAAAAAAGAGCUAGAUCUUUUUAUUAAUUGAUUUUUUUUUCAGAAUCUGACGUAAUAAUAAAUGAUUUUUAAAAUAAAUCUAAUCUAGUUUGGACUUUGUUUGGUCUGAAGUGAACAGUACAAUAAAAAUGAAUGUACAAAUAAGUUAAAACAUUUAAAAUUUUUUUAUUGGGAAUGAAUAAUGUACAUAAUAAAACUGGAUAAUUGUGGAAUUUAGUUUGUAAUGAUCAUACCAAUGAAUUUGUUAAUAGCAAUAUUGAAGCCAUAUCUUGAAAUACAUGGAAUGAUGUUAACAUAUUGCUAAUAAAAUAUAACAUCUUACAGUUUAAGGCAGUGAUGUCC